GACCCGACAAAAACAGAGACCCCCUAAAUUUUGUUCCGCCUACUACUACUAUUUCCCUAGAGAAAGAAAAUCAUCACUAUCAGCAAGCCACCAAUAUUGCACCCAUGGAAAACAUCACGACACCGGCAAACAAAAUCGUCACCCGAUUACCAUCACCAUCAGGAACCUAAAUAACCGUCGGCCACCAUUACCAUCGCCGGUGUGCUUGAAAUCUGCUGCACCUUUCACAAAUUUGUGCAAUACUAGAAGCAUCAUUGAAGGUGUUGAAAAUGAAGAAAGGGAAGACGCAAGCAGUGAAGACAUUACUUGAGAAGAUUUUUGGAUUUUUGCUGAAGCUUUAGAUGUUCUAGGAAUAUUUUGCUAUUGACAUUUUGGAACUCAUGCAAACUCUUUAAAUGUAAAACUUUAUGUAUUUGGGUUUUAACAUUUUGCUUUUAUGGAUAUUAUAACUAGCUUGUGGACAAUAUGGAUUAUGAAAAGUUUCAUUUUGUGAUUUUAUA